UGGGGAAUUUUGGACAAUGGGGGCAACCCUGAUCCAGCCAUGCCGCGUGCGGGAAGAAGGCCUUCGGGUUGUAAACCGCUUUUGGUCGGGAAGAAAGGGUCACCGUUAAUACCGGUGACUGUUGACGGUACCGGCAGAAUAAGCACCGGCUAACUACGUGCCAGCAGCCGCGGUAAUACGUAGGGUGCGAGCGUUAAUCGGAAUUACUGGGCGUAAAGCGUGCGCAGGCGGUUCGUUGUGUCUGAUGUGAAAGCCCCGGGCUCAACUUGGGAAUGGCAUUGGAAACUGGCGAGCUAGAGUGUGGCAGAGGGGGGUGGAAUUCCGCGUGUAGCAGUGAAAUGCGUAGAGAUGCGGAGGAACACCGAUGGCGAAGGCAGCCCCCUGGGCUGACACUGACGCUCAGGCACGAAAGCGUGGGGAGCAAACAGGAUUAGAUACCCCCGUAGUCC
rnacentral:rRNA from 1 species